AACUGAUACUACCUGCGGGAACCUGCGGAGGGAUCAUUACCAGGUGAUGUCCCCGGUCCAUGGUUUGACCGGGGUCCCAUCCCCCCACUCCUGUGUACCGACCCUGUUUUCUGGACGUGUCUCCCCCAAAUCACCUCAUUAAUCAUGGGGGAGGAACUGGGGGAGGGUUGCGUGCGAGGUCAUGAGGCCCGCAGGCUUCCCGGCCGCACCGGCAGGCCGUCCGGAGGUUUAGGUCUAAGC
rnacentral:misc_RNA from 1 species